rnacentral:tRNA from 2 species
UCCUCGGUAGCUCAGUGGUAGAGCGAUCGACUGUUAAUCGAUUGGUCGCAAGUUCGAAUCUUGCCCGGGGAG